rfam:Bombyx mori DNA, contig: Bm_scaf21_contig15108, strain: p50T/Dazao, build 2, whole genome shotgun sequence.
UAAACUCAAAUUUGUAUGGAAUUGGAACGCUUGGCUACAUUUGCCGCUAGGGGUGCUGUUCCAACUCCAUACAAAUUUGAGUUA